GACGAACGCUGGCGGCGUGCUUAACACAUGCAAGUCGAACGGAAAGGCCCUGCUCUUGUGGGUUGCUCGAUUGGCGAACGGGUGAGUAUCACGCGAGUAUCCUGCCCCUGACUUUGUGAUAACUUCAGGAGACUGGGGCUAAUACCGGAGAUGAUCUCUUGCUGCAUGGGGUGGGUUGGAAAGAUUCGGCGGUUGUGGCUGGACUCGCGGCUUAUCAGCUUGUUUGUGUGGUAGUGGCUUACCAAGGCUUUGACGGGUAGCCGGCCUGAGAGGGUGACCGGCCACAAUGGGACUGAGAUACGGACCAGUAUCCUACGGGAGGCAGCGGUGGGGAAUAUUGCGGAGUGGGGGGAAGCCUGAUGCAGCGACGCCGCGUGCGGGAUGACGGCCUUCGGGUUGUAAACCGAUUUGUCCUGUGACGAAGCGUGAGUGACGGUAAUGGGUCAAGAAGCACCGGCUAACUACGUG
rnacentral:rRNA from 1 species